rnacentral:rRNA from 1 species
UAGGGAAUCUUCCGCAAUGGGCGAAAGCCUGACGGAGCAACGCCGCGUGAGUGAAGAAGGAUUUCGGUUCGUAAAGCUCUGUUGUUAGGGAAGAAUGAUUGUGUAGUAACUAUACACAGUAGAGACGGUACCUAACCAGAAAGCCACGGCUAACUACGUGCCAGCAGCCGCGGUAAUACGUAGGUGGCAAGCGUUGUCCGGAAUUAUUGGGCAUAAAGCGCGCGCAGGUGGUUUAAUAAGUCUGAUGUGAAAGCCCACGGCUCAACCGUGGAGGGUCAUUGGAAACUGUUAAACUUGAGUGCAGGAGAGAAAAGUGGAAUUCCUAGUGUAGCGGUGAAAUGCGUAGAGAUCAGGAGGAACACCAGUGGCGAAGGCGGCUUUUUGGCCUGUAACUGACACUGAGGCGCGAAAGCGUGGGGAGCAAACAGGAUUAGAUACCCUGGUAGUCCACGCCGUNNCGAUGAGUGCUAAGUGUUGGUCUCAUAAGAGAUCAGUGCUGCAGCUAACGCAUUAAGCACUCCGCCUGGGGAGUACNACCGCAAGGUUG